AUGCAAGUCGAGGGGAAACGACAUCGAAAGCUUGCUUUUGGUGGGCGUCGACCGGCGCACGGGUGAGUAACGCGUAUCCAACCUGCCCACCACUUGGGGAUAACCUUGCGAAAGUAAGACUAAUACCCAAUGACGUCUCUAGAAGACAUCUGAAAGGGAUUAAAGAUUUAUCGGUGAUGGAUGGGGAUGCGUCUGAUUAGCUUGUUGGCGGGGUAACGGCCCACCAAGGCAACGAUCAGUAGGGGUUCUGAGAGGAAGGUCCCCCACAUUGGAACUGAGACACGGUCCAAACUCCUACGGGAGGCAGCAGUGAGGAAUAUUGGUCAAUGGGCGAGAGCCUGAACCAGCCAAGUAGCGUGCAGGAUGACGGCCCUAUGGGUUGUAAACUGCUUUUAUAAGGGAAUAAAGUGAGCCUCGUGAGGCUUUUUGCAUGUACCUUAUGAAUAAGGACCGGCUAAUUCCGUGCCAGCAGCCGCGGUAAUACGGAAGGUCCGGGCGUUAUCCGGAUUUAUUGGGUUUAAAGGGAGCGCAGGCCGUGGGUUAAGCGUGUCGUGAAAUUCCGUCGCUCAACGGCGGACGUGCGGCGCGAACUGGUCCACUUGAGUACGCGGGACGUUGGCGGAAUUCGUGGUGUAGCGGUGAAAUGCUUAGAUAUCACGAAGAACUCCGAUUG
rnacentral:rRNA from 2 species